UACGUAGGGUGCAAGCGUUGUCCGGAAUUAUUGGGCGUAAAGAGCUCGUAGGCGGUCUGUCGCGUCGGAUGUGAAAAUCCAGGGCUCAACCCUGGACCUGCAUUCGAUACGGGCAGACUAGAGUUCGGUAGGGGAGACUGGAAUUCCUGGUGUAGCGGUGAAAUGCGUAGAUAUCGAGAGGAACACCAGUGGCGAAGGCGAGUCUCUGGACGACUCCUGACACUGAGGCACGAAAGCUAGGGGAGCAAACAGG
rnacentral:rRNA from 1 species